UUGGGGAUGAAAACAACAGCUCACUGUCCUUUUGCAAAUGGAAUUUACAGGCCCCAUUUCAUGCAUGAGAACACUGAGGCUUAGAGAGGUGGGGUUACUUGAACAAGGUCACAAGGCUGGUUAAAGUAGGGAAAAUAAAUGAAAUAUUUUACAGUUCAUGGCAUAAGAAUACGCCAGUUUCAGGCAUGUAGAUGAUGAUGAUGGUGGUGGUGGAGAUAAUGAUAAUGAUGAUGACAGGAACUGAAGGGCACAAUUAAGGCCUUAAAGAUCUCCUGGAUGUGGUCACUGUAACCUGUCAAGGCAUGACCUGGAAUCUUUUACAGCAUGGCUUCUCUCCUAGAAUCACAGAGUGGCCAAGAGUGAGGACGUUGACACUACACAGACCUGGGGCAGACCCGGCCCUGCUGCUGAGUGGUUGACUGGCCCCAGUUUCUCCACCUGGGAAACAGGCGGCCUUCUCUCUCUCUACGUCAUCAAGUCAGUGCAGAGCGCAUGGAGCAGCAACGCCCUGCCCAGCUCUGGGCUGCCCGCUGCGUGCUGAGGAUCCAGAGACAAACCAGCCAUGCUCCUGGCUGAGCGGAAGGUCCUCCCGAGCCUGCACAGUCUGAACUUGCUGAGCAGCCUGAGCUGGCGAAGAUGCCCUCCUUUAGAGGAGCGUGCAGACUUGAUAAGGGAAACAGAUGGGCCAACAGAUAAUUCCCAGCAGAGGUGUGUUCAAACAUGAGCCCUGGGGACUAGGUACUAAGCAGAUGGAGGAACAGAGAUGUAAGUAACUUACCCAAGAUCACACAGCCAGCAGAUCUGCACCGAGGCAGUGUGUCCAGCUUUUUAUCGUCAUGGUAUCCAGGUCUACUUUGGAAACGAGGCGGCUAUGCCUCAAAAGGGAAGGGUUCCCAGAGAGAGUGAUGUUGGACGUGGGCCUUGAGGAGGAAGUAGAGAAGUUUUAGAGGUGUGAAAACUGGACAUCAUUUAGCUGGGUCCUGUGCUUCAGGGUAUCUCACAGGCAGCACACAAGGCUUCAUCUGGGCUAUACUCAUCAGAAGGCUGGAUUGGGGAAGAUCUGCUUCCAAGUUUACUUACAUGGUUGUUGGUGGGAUUCAGUUCCUGGUAGGCUGCCAGCUUUAGCUCCUCAUUUCCUGAUGGCUGGAGGGUUCCCUCAGUUCCUUUCCAUGUGGGCCUCUCCAGCAUGGCUGCUUGCUUCAUCAAAGUGUACAAGAAGGGAGACAGCAAUAGGAACAUGUCAGCAAGAUGGAAUCCACAGUCUUUUUAAAGCUAACCAUGGAAGUGAUAUUCCAUCACUUUUGGUGUAUUCUGUUUGUUAGGAACAAGACACUAGGUCCAGCCCACCACUCAAGGUAUGGGAUUACACACGGCAUGAAUACUAUGGGGUGGGGAUCACUGGAAAUUAUGUCAGCAGCUAUCUGUCACACAUGAGAGAAGUGGAGAUGGUAGUCAUAAUAAUAGUCAUCAUCAUCAUAAUAAUAAGGCUGGUGAGGAUAGCCAGCAUUUAUUGGGUGUUCUUGAUGCAUCAGGCACUGGGCUAAAUCCCUUCUAUGCAUUGUCUCCUUUAAUCUCCUCAUCACUCUCAUUAACUUCCCUGAGUUACUACAGCAAAGAGAUUAGGACCAGACUCUGUUGUUUCCACUCCGAAGUCCAUCCCUUUACAUGAUGCAGAUCAUUGAUAAGAAUCCACUGAGCUGCUGAGGCUCCAGGAAAGACCUGAUUGAGAGAGGAGUCUGAUAAACGAAGCUGAACUCACUGCUCCUCAGAAAACUGCAAAUGAACACAACCAGAAGCCAUUUCUUACCCAUCAGAUUGGAAAAGAAAAUAGCAUUGAAAUCAUAUAGCAGCAUCAUCCAGACCUGCAGAAUCAUACGUGAUCAUAGCCAGUUCACACUGAAAAAAGCCUUGUAGGAGAUUCGCCAACCUAAUCAUUCAGCUUACAGGUGCCUGAAACAAAGAAAAGAAAUGCAGAUAAUUGGAUCUUCAUGACAUUUUCCCAACUGGCCACUUUCCCUGUAACAAGACCAAGCCUGUCUCUUCCAUUGUACUCUCGUGAGCUACCUGGGUCAGAACCUGAAAUCUUGGCGCAGAAGUCCUGUGGCCUGCCUAUAAACUUCUCAUUCCCGGCAGCUGGCACAUGCAUGGCCCAAUAAAUAUUUCUUGAUUGAAUGGAAGGAGCUGUGAAUAGUGGCCUCCUCAAGCAAAGGACAUUUUAUCUCCCAAAGGGAAAUCUACUUUGUUGAUAUGAAAGUGAGCUUCUUAAUAGGUCUACGGGGCAACAUUUUGCUAACCCCAUUCAAAUUAUAACAGACUUCAAAGUCAUAAAGGCAGUAAUAUGCUUCCUUUUAAGUGUGUAAUUUGUAUUUUUUUACACCCAGGAAUGGAAAACAGGGAGUGAAAUAUCCCCCAAUUAUUAUUUUGUGCUUUUGAGGCAGGAUGGCCCACUCACCUGUGGGGACUCUGGUGGCCAAGCACCUCCCACCUCAUUCUUGGCAAUUGUUUUCAUCUGCCUCCCUUCACACUGGCCCUAGCUCAGGUCUGGAAUCUUCCCAGGGUCUGACCUCUGAGUGUCUGUCUCAUGCAAUUCUGCUGCCCUGGUAUUGACUCUCAGGACACAGAAGUAUACUCUCUGCCACAUUCAUGACCACCCUGGGUGACGUGUCAAGGCAUCUUAGUGCAGCCCUGAGUCCCUUGGAGGGAAAUGGCCCCAGUCUGCUUCCUGUUUGAGGUAGCUCUGUUCUGGAUCACUUGGUCCUCCCCUCUCCCUCCUGCCACUGCUGAUUGCAUUGUGGUGAUCACCCCAAGGUCAUCCCAAAGGCAGGCUGCCGUGUAGAGCCUGGCUUGGCACAGGAGGCCCCAGCCAAUGAUCUCUGAUGCUGACCUCAUGCUCCAGGUGCCUGAAACAAAGAAAAGAAAUGCAGAUAAUUGGAUCUUCAUGACAAUUUCCCAACUGGCCACUUUCCCUGUAACAAGACCAAGCCUGUCUCUUCCAUAUGGGUCAGCCAUAUCCCACCCACUCCUCCUGGGAUUUGACUUGGGGAAUGUGGACAGAAUCACACAGUCAGUAGAAGUUGGAAAGUAGGCGGAAGUGGCCACAUGGGGUAGGGACAUAUCAGAGUUAUGAUGAAUCAGAAGCAGAAGCCCCAAGUUGAAGAAGAGAUACAAAGCUUGGAAGCAGGAAGAGAUGGAGCGGACACACAAAGGAAUCCAACACUGGAGAACGGCAACGUAAAGGUGGCGUGCUAGGGGAAAGCUCCAGAAUUCCUGCAGCUGGGCGCUGGAGCCACCCUGAACUUUCAAAGACCUCCCUAUUCCAGUCUCCACAAUCCCAGGUCCUGGUAUGUCCCUGGAUUUGGGGGGAGAUUCUGGCUCCUUUGUAGCACCACAAUAAACCCUUAUUGCCUGAGUUA
rnacentral:lncRNA from 1 species